rnacentral:sRNA from 6 species
AUUCUACCCAUGUGGGGAAGGAUGAGAAGCUUCGACUAAGGUUCGAUUCGAGCGAAAGCGAGAAAGCGUUGCCAACGGCAACGACCCGAAGGGCGAAGCGCGCAGCGCUGAGUCAUCCUUCCCCCACCACCA